rnacentral:rRNA from 1 species
GACGAACGCUGACGGUGUGCUUUAGACAUGCAAGUCGAACGAGAAAGCCCUUCGGGUUAGUAAAGUGGCGAACGGGUGAGUAACACGUGGGCAAUCUGCCCCUCGCAGGGGGACGAACCGGAGGAACUCCGGCUAAUACCCCGUAAGUUCAAAGGGAGGCAUCUCUCUUCGAAGAAAGGUAGCUUCGGCCAUCCGGCGAGGGAUGAGCCCGCGGUGCAUUAGCUAGUUGGUGGGGUAACGGCCUACCAAGGCGACGAUGCAUAGCUGGUCUGAGAGGAUGAUCAGCCACACUGGGACUGAGACACGGCCCAGACUCCUACGGGAGGCAGCAGUCGGGAAUCUUGCGCAAUGGGCGAAAGCCUGACGCAGCAACACCGUGUGUGUGAGGAAGGCCCUCGGGUCGU